rnacentral:rRNA from 1 species
AUUGAACGCUGGCGGCAUGCCUUGCACAUGCAAGUCGAACGGCAGCGGACCUUCGGUGCCGGCGAGUGGCGAACGGGUGAGUAAUAUAUCGGAACGUACCUUUCAGUGGGGAGUAACGUAGCGAAAGUUACGCUAAUACCGCAUAUUCUGUGAGCAGGAAAGACAGGGGAGUCGCAAGACCUUGCGCUGAUUGAGCGGCCGAUAUCAGAUUAGCUAGUUGGUGAGGUAAAGGACUCACCAAGGCGACGAUCUGUAGCGGGUCGUGAGAGGAUGAUCCGCCACACUGGAACUGAGACACGGUCCAGACUCCUACGGGAGGCAGCAGUGGGGGAAG